GACGAACGCUGGCGGCGUGCCUAACACAUGCAAGUCGAGCGGAGACAGAGACUUCGGCUUUUGUUUUAGCGGCGGACGGGUGAGUAACGCGUGAGCAACCUUUCUCUUACUGGGGAAUAACACAGGGAAACUUGUACUAAUACCGCAUGAGACCACAGAUGGGCAUCCAUCAGGGGUCAAAGAUUUAUCGGUAAGAGGUGGGCUCGCGUCUGAUUAGAUAGUUGGUGGGGUAACGGCCUACCAAGUCGACGAUCAGUAGCCGACCUGAGAGGGUGAUCGGCCACAUUGGGACUGAGACACGGCCCAA
rnacentral:rRNA from 1 species